UCUUGUAAUUCAGUGUUAGAGUUGUUGGCUGAGUCUAGCAAGAAGAGUCCUUGAUACAGUGACAGCUGCUUUAAUGAGGACAUUUGCCAGUAUCAUCAUCUGGUGAGAUGUCUACAUUUUUCUAUCCCAAUACAUAUUAAUCACAACACUGCUGGAGAUAAAGGAGUGUAGCAGCGGCAGCAUGGUGGCUCACUGAAGGUGAUGCAUGAAGCACCAGUAAAACAAGAAAUCAAAAGACAGCAGAAGGAAGAAUUUACCUUUUAGACAUUUCAGCUUCAGUUUUGAGUGGUUCACUGCCAUGGCUUGACAAGGAUCUGUUGGUGGUAUAUUAUAGAAUGGGAUUCCAGAUUGCUUCACUGAAACAACUUAAAUUCCAGUUAUCUUCAGUGAAUGAAGACCUAGGCCCUUUAAAAAUUGUAAGCCAUCAUAAAAAGAUGUUUUGUUCUUGGAGCCCUGAGAACUGUUCAGAAUGUGGAUUUAUUUUGGUGAACUGAGGGGUGAGUAUUCUCUUAUGCACUGUUGAAUGUAAUUAGACUACAGAUGGUGCUGAUUGUGGUUUUCUUCACUGUAUCUCAUUUCCUUUCUUUUCUUCUAUUUCUUGGUUUACUUUAGUCUUCCUUAUGCUUGAAAUUUAAAAUGCACUAAAAUAUUUAAAGAACCCUAAGAAAGAAGUGUGCCCCCUUUUGAAGAAUUUCACAUGAAAACCUGUGAACUGUUGGAAUUAAUUGGGUCGCAGCUGGUAUUAAUAGUAUGCAGGGAUGGGGGCAGGGUGCUUCAGAAUUGUUUAAUAUUUUUACUUUGUGUUUUAUUGUUUAACGUCUCAGCUUUCAUUAUAUUCAGAUUGCUGAAGCUUAGGGGCCUGAUCUUCUCUUGCUAUGUGUAUUAUGCAGAUGCUUAUACCACUACAAAGUGGGUUUGCAGUGCUACCAGUUAAGAAUAGUAGUGUUUGCAGUUUAAAUUGGUGUCAGUGGCUACAGUUCAUAACACAGAACCAAGCUCUCAGGAUGAGGAAUAGGAGACUUACAAAUGGAAGAAUCCUUUGGUCUCCAUACAGUGCCAGAUGGCAGGCAUCCUGGAUGAAGAUCUCCAAAUCAAAAACGCUUGCAUAUAAUGUCAGGUUGUGGAGCCACCUCAGGGCUGAGAUUUCUGAACUUGAAAACUGAUUUCUGCAUCACAAAUCAUCAUGCUCUAAAUGUUCCUGGAUGAUGUAUUUUGAGAAGUGUCCACAAUACCAAAAGAUGUAGCAUGUUAAUUAUUCAGUUCAUGCCCUUAAUCAAGUAACAGGACCACAUGUAGCAACUGAGUUUCUGUAAGGAGCAGAGAUGGGGAAGUACAUGGCAACCAAGGAAGGAUGGAAGUCAUGUUGGAAACAAGUUUUCAACUCUACUGCAAACUGAGGAAGGCAAAGUAAAUACCAUGAGGGGGACUACUUGUGGAGUUGUUAGUGGCCCAGACUGUCCCUAUUAUUAACAUGGAUAAGGAACCAUACUAUAUGCUGUGGCUUUUAUUAUCUGCAAAGAAAAUAACUCAGGAUGAAGUCUCCAUGUGCUCUUACUGAUGUAUGUUUGAGUGAAGAGUUCUUGGACAGAAAAGAGGAUACCAUGAUAGUGCAAGGAGGUACAGCAGAAGCCAAUUGGCAGGAGCAGCUGUGAAAGUAACAGACUGCUGCUGUGGAGAGGAAAAGAUAAAAUGGCAACCACCAAGGACCAUCUGCCCUGCUCCAAACCUCUGUGACCCUCCAGACCAAAGGAUGUACAACCAGAUGUACCCCUACCCCUAUUUGUUCUGUAGUCACUAUUAUAAUAAAUAUGAGUGAAUAAGUGAAUAAAAAUAAAAUAUCUCCGGAAACACAGCAAGGAGAUCUGGCUGGGACAGUAGAGCAGCAUUUUAGAGGUUCACUGUAAUGUCCACAUCUAUAAAACUGGUGUAAUAAUGCUUACCCACCUUUGUACGUUCACUUUAGAGCCCUUUACCCUCUGUAAAAGGAAUGUAAUAUUAGUGCCAAUCCAGCUGUUCAACAUUUUUUUGUAUUUUCCCCUCAUCAUUUUCCCCUGUGUUAUUAAGUGCUCAGGAAUUAGGUGACGUCAAACUUAAGUGGACUCUUACAACCUUUGCACUCCCCUUGGGAUGUGUAUGUUGUAGUAAAUUAUUAAAUCAGCUGAUCACAUAAUCUUUCUGAAAAGAACUGUAAGAUGUUACAAUGCAAAAUAGAGGACUAAUUAUGUAAUGGAAGACUAUAUUUCAAUUAAUAGAAAUGAAAGAUCAUUUCCUACAUUUGAAAUACUGAUCCAUACAAUACUUACAUUCUGUGAACCUAGUUUUAUGUAUUACAAUCAGCUGCAACGAUGUCCAUAUAUAUUUCUCAUGUUCAUAUAUUUCCACUGCUGGAGUACAUAUCCCAUGAAUGUGAUUAUUUUUUUGGUAAGAAAUGCCCAUAACAGUCAGACUGGCACCAUGGAUCCCUUUACAUCCCUCCGAACCAAAGCCAUAAGGAGCAGAGCAGGUCAAACUAUCCCUCCAGUCCUUUUUUACCAUCUUUUGUUACAUGGAACCCUUGGCAAAACUUGGUCCUCUGUGUUGUGUGCAGACCACUUUUUUUUUGUAAAUAUUUAGUUAGGUGUUGGUUUAGUUAGAGAUAAUGUUAGUGUAAAUAGUAUCCAUGCACCCAUUGGCUUAAUAUCAGAACAAAACAUAUUUUUCAUUUUCAUACUAAGGGAAUUUUUUCCUAGUAUGUGGCUAAACCAGAGUCUUUUAACUUCAAGAUUGUUUUUCAGAUCUUCGUCAUAUUGGGCUUAAGAAUCAAAAAGAAAAAUCAUCCCUGGUUCCAGUGUAGAGGCUAAAGUUUAUUAACUUAGUGCUGUAUUUACUCAGAAAGACGACAACCCUGAAUAUGAGACUACCUCCCACCCAUAAUUAGAUUCUAUACAUGUAAAAUUUAUAAAAUUGUUAUAAUUUUCCAGGUAUAAAAUCUAGUAAUUGGAGUUUUGCCUUGAAUUUGUUCCCUUACCAGUGCUACACCAGGAAAAAUAAAUUUGGGGAGAGAGGGGAGGGGUCAGGUGACUCCCUAGUCCUCUACCCCCCCAACAUUUUCCCUCUGCAGCCCCUUCCUUCUCUCCGUGCAUGCACCCUCCUCCCCUUACUGUCAGACCCUGUUCUCUUCAAGCA